rnacentral:tRNA from 1 species
ACGUCCUUAGUUCAGUCUGGUAGAACGCGGGUCUCCAAAACCCGAUGUCGCAGGUUCAAAUCCUACAGGGCGUG